UUCAGGAUUGUGAAGUAGCAUGAAGCCGAGUAUUGGAAAUAUGUAGAGGAAGUGUCCCCAGGAGAUUUGUAGGAGAUUUAGACGUGUAUCUAGACGCUAUAUUGGAUGCAAUUGUCAAGUUGAAGAAGACACUAAACAUCAGAUAUUCCACCGAGUGUUCCUACUGUAAAUAAUAUGAUCACUUUUACAAAAGAGAAGCCAAGAACCGGAGCAAGAAACCGACUUGUAGAAACGGUAAUUCAAAUGAAAGACAGGGGACCUUGAUUUUCCAUCUCUAGAGGAGUUGUUAUCUUCUUCUAGUUUCUUAAGUUUAAUCAUCCUCCCAGUAGCAGAUUUCAUAGCCAAUGGACCAUUUUCGAGUUGUUGGUUAUGAAUUCUAAAUCUGUGGCACAUAGGAGACAAGCGGUAGGAACCAACAAACCUCAUCGAUGAAGACGGUCUCUUGAAGGUAUAUGUCACGAACAAGCACCCUAAGUAGAUUUGAUGGAAAGCAUGUUUCAGAAUUCUUUGUGAAACCAGGGUUAAGUAAAUUUCUCCAAAGAAACUGAUCAGAUUGGGAAGAGCCAGUGACUGCCAAUAGGAUAAACCUGAGAGAGACAUUACUAGCCAGCCAAGAUAUACCAGAAACUUGAAGACCAUUUGAACCAGUGAGAUCAAUUAGAGGACUAGAUUCGCCAAUCAUCGAAUAAGAGCCAGUACCAACCUGAAAAAGGAGAUAAAGCAAGUCUGCCCACAAAGCACAAAGAGUACUUGAUCAGUCUCUUCCACACUCAGCUUCCCGAACCCAGAAAAUCUGCAUCCUAAACAACAUAUCCCUUCGAAAGUGUGAUAUCUUGAAUCUCCAUACAUUCAUACAUGCAUACAUUCAUCCAUACAUCCAUACAUCCAUACAUCCAUACAUGCAUACAUUCAUACAUGCAUACAUUCAUUCAUGCAUACAUUCACAUGCAUACAUUUGCUUUCUUGAUUUAUUGCUGAGGUCAUUGCUUGCUUCAUUAGCUUAUUUUCAUUUAUGUACUUGCUUGCUUGUUUCUUUCUCUGAUUGUUUUACAUGUUUAACUUGCUCACUUUAUUCCUUCUUUGUUUCUUUGUUUAUUUGAUCGUUGCUUACUCAAUUGCUUGCAUCCUUCUUGGUGUACUUCUUUUAUUCUUUGAUAUAUCGCUUACUUAACUGAUUCA